AGUGAACGCUGGCGGUAUGCCUAACACAUGCAAGUCGAACGGCAGCACAAUAAGCUCUUGCUUCUACCGUUGGCGACUGGCGGAUGGGUGACGCAUACAUCGCCUUCUUCUUUUUCUUGGGUGAUUACGUAGGGCCUCUUACGCUAACACCUCAUAUGACCUACGGGUUGGAUCAUUGGUUCUUCGGACCUUUCGUGUUCCUAUUAGCUGAUGUCGGAUUAGCUAGUUGGCGGGGUAAAGGCCCACCAAGGCGACGAUCCGUAGCUGGUCUGAGAGGAUGAUCAGCCACACUGGAACUGAGACACGGUCCAGACUCCUACGGGAGGCAGCAGUGGGGAAUAUUGGACAAUGGGCGCAAGCCUGAUCCAGCCAGACCGCGUGGGUGAAGAAGGCCUUCGGGUUGUAAAGCCCUUUUGUUGGGAAAGAAAAGCAGCAGGUUAAUACCCCGCUGUUCUGACGGUACCCAAAGAAUAAGCACCGGCUAACUUCGUG
rnacentral:rRNA from 1 species